rnacentral:tRNA from 1 species
GCAUUGGUGGUUCAGUGGUAGAAUUCUGGCUUUCCAUGUGGGAGACCCAGGCUCAGUUCCUGGCUAAUGUA